AGUCCACGCCCUAAACGAUGGCAACUAGGUGUUGGGGAAGCGAUUUCCUGGUACCGCAGCUAACGCGUGAAGUUGCCCGCCUGGGGAGUACGGUCGCAAGAUUAAAACUCAAAGGAAUUGACGGGGACCCGCACAAGCGGUGGAUGAUGUGGAUUAAUUCGAUGCAACGAGAAUCACCUUACGUACCCUUGACAUGUACGGAACCCUGCAGAGAUGUGGGGGUGCUUGAAAGAGAGCCGUAACACAGGUGCUGCAUGGCUGUCGUCAGCUCGUGUCGUGAGAUGUUGGGUUAAGUCCCGCAACGAGCGCAACCCUUGUCCCUAGUUGGUACGCAAGGGCACUCUAGGGAGACUGCCGGUGACAAACCGGAGGAAGGUGGGGAUGACGUCAAGUCUUCAUGGCCCUUAUGGGUAGGGCUUCACACGUCAUGCAAUGGCCGGUACAGAGGGUUGCCAAAGCGCGAGCUGGAGCCAAUCCCCAUAAAAGCCGGUCGUAGUCCGGAUUGCAGUCUGCAACUCGACUGCAUGAAGUCGGAAUCGCUAGUAAUCGCGGAUCAGCAUGUCGCGGUGAAUACGUUCCCGGGUCUUGUACACACCGCCCGUCACACCAUGGGAGCGGGAUGUACCAGAAGUAGGUAGGCUAACCGCAAGGGGGCCGCUUACCACGGUGCGUUUCGUGACUGGGGUGAAGUCGUAACAAGGUACCAAUCCCGCGG
rnacentral:rRNA from 1 species